UACGGAGGAUCCAAGCGUUAUCCGGAUUCAUUGGGUUUAAAGGGUGCGUAGGUGGCCUAUUAAGUCAGUGGUGAAAUCCUGCAGCUUAACUGUAGAAUUGCCAUUGAUACUGAUGGGCUUGAGUGUAGGUGAAGCGGGCGGAAUAUGACAUGUAGCGGUGAAAUGCUUAGAUAUGUCAUAGAACACCGAUUGCGAAGGCAGCUCGCUAAACUACAACUGACACUGAGGCACGAAAGCGUGGGUAGCAAACAGG
rnacentral:rRNA from 1 species